rnacentral:rRNA from 1 species
GAUUGAACUGAAGAGUUUGAUCCUGGCUCAGAUUGAACGCUGGCGGCAUGCCUAACACAUGCAAGUCGAACGGAAACGAUGGGAGCUUGCUCCCAGGCGUCGAGUGGCGGACGGGUGAGUAAUGCUUAGGAAUCUGCCCAUGUAGUGGGGGACAACCUGGUGAAAACCAGGCUAAUACCGCAUAAGCCCUUCGGGGGAAAGCAGGGGAUCUUCGGACCUUGCGCUAUUGGAUGAGCCUAAGUCGGAUUAGCUUGUUGGUGGGGUAACGGCCUACCAAGGCGACGAUCCGUAGCUGGUCUGAGAGGAUGAUCAGCCACACUGGGACUGAGACACGGCCCAGACUCCUACGGGAGGCAGCAGUGGGGAAUAUUGGACA